rnacentral:tRNA from 1 species
GGAGAUGUAGCUCAGUGGUAGAGUGCAUGAUGCUCUGGGUUUGAUAUCCAGCAUAACCA